UCCCUGGUGAUCCAGUGGUUAAGACUUCACACUUCCAAUGCAGGGAAUCCAGGUUCAAUUCCUGGCUGGGGAG
rnacentral:tRNA from 1 species